rnacentral:tRNA from 2 species
GCCGAAAUAGCUCAGUUGGGAGAGCGUUAGACUGAAGAUCUAAAGGUCCCCUGGGUUCGAUCCCGGGUUUCGGCA